rnacentral:rRNA from 1 species
GAUGAACGCUAGCGGCAGGCCUAACACAUGCAAGUCGAGGGGUAGAGGAAGCUUGCUUCCUUGAGACCGGCGCACGGGUGCGUAACGCGUAUACAAUCUACCUUAUACAGAGGGAUAGCCCAGAGUAAUUUGGAUUAAUACCUCAUAGUAUUAUGAAAUCGCAUGGUUUUAUAAUUAAAGUUCCAACGGUAUAGGAUGAGCAUGCGUCCCAUUAGUUAGUUGGUAAGGUAACGGCUUACCAAGACAAUGAUGGGUAGGGGUCCUGAGAGGGAGAUCCCCCACACUGGUACUGAGACACGGACCAGACUCCUACGGGAGGCAGCAGUGAGGAAUAUUGGUCAAUGGACGCAAGUCUGAACCAGCCAUGCCGCGUGCAGGAUGACGGUCCUAUGGAUUGUAAACUGCUUUUAUACAGGAAGAAACACUCCCUCGUGAGGGAACUUGACGGUACUGUAGGAAUAAGGAUCGGCUAACUCCGUGCCAGCCGCCGCAGUAAUAC